rnacentral:rRNA from 1 species
AUUGAACGCUGGCGGCAGGCCUAACACAUGCAAGUCGAGCGGAUGAAGGGAGCUUGCUCCUGGAUUCAGCGGCGGACGGGUGAGUAAUGCCUAGGAAUCUGCCUGGUAGUGGGGGAUAACGUCCGGAAACGGGCGCUAAUACCGCAUACGUCCUGAGGGAGAAAGUGGGGGAUCUUCGGACCUCACGCUAUCAGAUGAGCCUAGGCCGGAUUAGCUAGUUGGUGGGGUAAAGGCCUACCAAGGCGACGAUCCGUAACUGGUCUGAGAGGAUGAUCAGUCACACUGGAACUGAGACACGGUCCAGACUCCUACGGGAGGCAGCAGUGGGGAAUAUUGGACAAUGGGCGAAGGCCUGAUCCAGCCAUGCCGUGUGUGUGAAGAAGGUCUUCGGAUUGUAAAGCACUUUAAGUUGGGAGGAAGGGCAGUAAGUUAAUACCUUGCUGUUUUGACGUUACCAACAGAAUAAGCACCGGCUAACUUCGUG